GGAUCAGGUAGGGAUACCCGCUGAACUUAA
rnacentral:ncRNA from 3 species